rnacentral:rRNA from 1 species
UACCGAGGGGGCAAGCGUUGUUCGGAAUUACUGGGCGUAAAGGGCGCGUAGGCGGCCUGUUAAGUCGAACGUGAAAUCCCCGGGCUCAACCCGGGAACUGCGUCCGAUACUGGCAGGCUUGAAUUCGGGAGAGGGAUGUGGAAUUCCAGGUGUAGCGGUGAAAUGCGUAGAUAUCUGGAGGAACACCGGUGGCGAAGGCGGCAUCCUGGACCGAUAUUGACGCUGAUGCGCGAAAGCCAGGGGAGCAAACGGG